UACAGAGGUCUCAAGCGUUGUUCGGAUUCAUUGGGCGUAAAGGGUGCGUAGGCGGGUAGGUAAGUCCGUGGUGAAAUCUCUGAGCUUAACUCAGAAACUGCCGUGGAUACUAUUUGCCUUGAAUAUUGUGGAGGUGAGCGGAAUAUGUCAUGUAGCGGUGAAAUGCUUAGAUAUGACGUAGAACACCAAUUGCGAAGGCAGCUCACUACACAAUGAUUGACGCUGAGGCACGAAAGCGUGGGGAUCAAACAGG
rnacentral:rRNA from 1 species